rnacentral:rRNA from 1 species
UAUGUCGGGUGCGAGCGUUACUCGGAAUUACUGGGCGUAAAGCGUGCGCAGGCGGCUUUGCAAGACAGAUGUGAAAUCCCCGGGCUCAACCUGGGAACUGCAUUUGUGACUGCAAGGCUAGAGUACGGCAGAGGGGGAUGGAAUUCCGCGUGUAGCAGUGAAAUGCGUAGAUAUGCGGAGGAACACCAAUGGCGAAGGCAAUCCCCUGGGCCUGUACUGACGCUCAUGCACGAAAGCGUGGGGAGCAAACAGG